rnacentral:rRNA from 1 species
GAUGAACGCUGGCGGCGUGCCUAAUACAUGCAAGUCGAGCGCACGGACGAGAAGCUUGCUUCUCUGAUGUUAGCUGCGGACGGGUGAGUAACACGUGGAUAACCUACCUAUAAGACUGGGAUAACUACGGGAAACCGGAGCUAAUACCGCAUAAUAUUUUGAACCGCAUGGCUCAUAAGUGAAAGACGCUCUUGCUGUCACUCAUAGAUGAAUCCGCGCUGCAUUAGCUAGUUGGUAAGGUAACGGCUUACCAAGGCAACGAAGCAUAGCCGACCUGAAGGGGGGAUCGGCCACACGGGAACUGGGACACGGUCCAGACUCCUACGGGAGGCAGCAGUAGGGAAUCUUCCGAAAUGGGCGAAAGCCUGACGGAGCAACGCCGCGUGAGGGAUGAGGGUCUUCGGAUCGUAAAACUCUGUUAAUAGGGAAGAACAUAUGUGUAAUUAACUGUGCACAUCUUGACGGUACCUUAUCAGAAAGCCACGGCUAACUACGUG